rnacentral:rRNA from 1 species
CUACGGGUCGCUGCAGUGGGGAAUAUUGGACAAUGGGCGGAAGCCUGAUCCAGCAAUACCGCGUGUGUGAAGAAGGCCUGAGGGUUGUAAAGCACUUUCGUCGAGGAGGAAGCGGUGGUAGUUAAUAGCUAUUAUAGUUGACGUUACUCGAAGAAGAAGCACCGGCUAACUCUGUGCCAGCAGCCGCGGUAAUACAGAGGGUGCAAGCGUUAAUCGGAAUUACUGGGCGUAAAGCGUGCGUAGGCGGAUAGUUAAGUCAGAUGUGAAAUCCCCGGGCUCAACCUGGGAAUUGCAUCUGAUACUGGAUAUCUAGAGUAUGGUAGAGGAUGGCGGAAUUUCCGGUGUAGCGGUGAAAUGCGUAGAUAUCGGAAGGAACACCAGUGGCGAAGGCGGCUAUCUGGGCCAAUACUGACGCUGAGGCACGAAAGCAUGGGUAGCAAACAGGAUUAGAUACCCCCGUAGUC